CUUUGCCAGUUUUUAUAAUGUAAAUAUUGUAAAUUUUUUUAUGUAUUUCUAAGUUUUCUUAAUAUUUUUAAAGAUAUUUUCUUUGAUGUUAUAAUUGGUAAAAUAUUCCUUUUUUUCCCAAAUAGACCAUGUUUCAAACACCAUUUGCUGAAUUUUAGGAAAAUGUUGUUAGGAACACAUUCUUUAUCUUAACUAUGCACUUAGUAUUCUAGAGUGUAUUACAAUGCAAUUUAUCCUGAUUCACUGUUCUGACAGUCAGUGGUAACAUCACAGUAUCACUUGGUAAAGAUCCGUGAUACAUUGUGAUAUCUUGUAGAGUAAAUAUCUCUAUCAACUUGUAGAAAUAAAAUAAGGCACAAUUGGGCACAAUUUGCAUGUGCUCCCUCUUACCAAGAAGCACACAAGCAUCAAGCGGUUUUUGAAACUAUACUCACUGAUCUUUGGAGAAUAAUUCCUAAGUCAAGAAAGGAAAUGAUAAUUAUCUUUAAUUGAAAUCUUCUCUUUCUGGACUUUUGCUGGGCUCUCUAUACGCACUAAACAUUCUCAAAACGAUCUGAUAACAUUACUGUUUUUAUUAUUCUCAUUUUACAAAAGAUAAAGGUAUUUAAGAGACUUGGAAAAUCACAAUAGCUAAUUGCCAAGAGGGUCCAAAGUCCAUGCCUUAAAACCUUUGAGCAUAUUCUUGUUCGAGGUGAGCCGGUUAUGCUGCCUAUGACAUUCUUCCAAAGUUAUAGGCACAUCUGGGUGGGGAAUGGAAUGCUACAGGGACCACAGCCCUCCAAGACCUCUCGACCUCAGUAGAACUGGGGGACAGUGAGACAAUCUCCUCCCCAGUCACCCUGUUCCACUGAGGACAAGUAGGAGUCAGAUGUCAGUCUCACCCUUGGUUGACCCCACACUCUAAUCCCGCCUAUGGGCCAUUGUGAGACAGAAACAAAGUAUGGCAGAGGUAAGGCUGGGUUAUUUGCAGAUUUAUUCUCCAAGUAGAUACUGCAGCGUAUUGAAUUGGCUAAACAGCUAACCUGUUUAUUGGGACAUUUAUUGUUCAGCAAUAAACUAAGAUGAUAAAAAUCAGCAAGAAAACUUCAAAACUUCUUCAUCUACCCCAUCCACACCACGGUCAGGCAUUACUGUCCUCAGCUACAUUUUGAAAUCAAAGGGUAGUAGAAACACAAUGCUAUGCCUAAUAACCGCCUGGCUUGUACUUACUUAUGACAUGAUUUAGAUUAUUAUCUGAUGGAACUAUUAUACUUGUGAUUUGUCAAAACCAAUAAAUAGUCAGCAAGUUGUAGGCCUUGAACUUAGUCAUUAGGUCAAUAUUCUUUUUGUUCAAAAUUCUCCAUAACCACCCCUCUCCCAACUGUAGUCUGCUUUACUUUCCCCCGGCACAUUCCCUCUGUUUAUAAGGCUCAGUUCCCAUGGAGGGUCUCCCAUGGAGUGCCUCGUGUCUUGUCCUAACUGCCUGCAUCUGCAUGUUCAUUAGCUCUACCAAGAGAACUAAAUGGGGUCUUACAGCCUUUAUAAACUCUCUUUUUUCACUUUAUACACUUAGGGCUUUGUAUCAUUUUCAAAGUGUAUAAAUUCAACUAUCAUUUUUCAGUUACAAGUUAUAGAAAAUCCAAAUCAAAUAUCCUUACAAAUAUGACUUAUGGGAAUUGAGUAAUGCUGAAAAUUAAUCACGGGUAUUAUUUAUAGGCAUAGUUUGAUGAGGUGGGCAUGACAUCAUCUGAUCUCAGACCCCAUUCAUGUUGUUGUUGUUGUUUUAUUUUGUCCCUUCUUCCUUGGGGUGGCUCCCUUUACAGCCAAGUUGAAGAAGGCAUCUUGGUGAAGUAAACUUCUGAGAUUCAUUCUGACUGGACCAGUUUAGGUCACUCCUACUACACUGGCCGAGAGGAAGGACUAUGCAGGGCCUCACGUUCCACUCACAAAUCCUGGUGUCAGCUUUCCAAGCAGCCCAUGGGCUCUCCACCUCAAAUAUAAAGUGAAAACUGUUAGAUCAUUUCUCGGGUUGACUCCUCAAAAAUCUCAAGCAAAUUCAAACUGUGAGUAUGUUUCCCUGUGCUUGUCCGCUAGACCUCAGACAUCGAUCAGAUGGGACACAUAGCAGAGCAAGAGUCUGUGCCACUUUCUGGCUGUGUGACCUUCAAU
rnacentral:lncRNA from 1 species